rnacentral:rRNA from 1 species
CCUACGGGGGGCAGCAGUGAGGAAUAUUGGUCAAUGGGCGAGAGCCUGAACCAGCCAAGUCGCGUGAGGGAGUACUGCCCUAUGGGUUGUAAACCUCUUUUGUCGGGGAGCAAAAGCCGGACGUGUCCGGCUGUGAGAGUACCCGAAGAAAAAGCAUCGGCUAACUCCGUGCCAGCAGCCGCGGUAAUACGGGGGAUGCGAGCGUUAUCCGGAUUUAUUGGGUUAAAGGGGUGCGCGGGCGGAUUUUUAAGUCAGCGGUAAAAUCGUGGGGCUCAACCCCAUCCAGCCGUUGAAACUGGGGAUCUAGAGUGUGCGAGAGGUAUGCGGAAUGCGUGGUGUAGCGGUGAAAUGCAUAGAUAUCACGCAGAACCCCGAUUGCGAAGGCAGCAUACCGGUGCACAACUGACGCUCAGGCACGAAAGCGUGGGUAUCGAACAGGAUUAGAUACCCCUGUAGUC